GACGAACGCUGGCGGCGUGCUUAACACAUGCAAGUCGAACGGAAAGGCCCUGCUUUUGUGGGGUUCUCGAGUGGCGAACGGGUGAGUAACACGUGAGUAACCUGCCCUUGACUUUGGGAUAACUUCAGGAAACUGGGGCUAAUACCGGAUAGGAGCUCCUGCUGCAUGGUGGGGGUUGGAAAGUUUCGGCGGUUGGGGAUGGACUCGCGGCUUAUCAGCUUGUUGGUGGGGUAGUGGCUUACCAAGGCUUUGACGGGUAGCCGGCCUGAGAGGGUGACCGGCCACAUUGGGACUGAGAUAAGGCCCAGACUCCUACGGGAGGCAGCAGUGGGGAAUAUUGCACAAUGGGCGGAAGCCUGAUGCAGCAACGCCGCGUGCGGGAUGACGGCCUUCGGGUUGUAAACCGAUUUCGCCUGUGACGAAGCGUGAGUGACGGUAAUGGGUAAAGAAGCACCGGCUAACUACGUG
rnacentral:rRNA from 1 species